rnacentral:rRNA from 1 species
UACGGGGGGGGGCAAGCGUUGUUCGGAAUUACUGGGCGUAAAGGGCUCGUAGGCGGCCAACUAAGUCAGACGUGAAAUCCCUCGGCUUAACCGGGGAACUGCGUCUGAUACUGGAUGGCUUGAGUUUGGGAGAGGGAUGCGGAAUUCCAGGUGUAGCGGUGAAAUGCGUAGAUAUCUGGAGGAACACCGGUGGCGAAGGCGGCAUCCUGGACUACUACUGACGCUGAGUGAGCGAAAGCCAGGGGAGCAAAACGGG